GCUCCGAACUCAAUUCAGCUGAUCAUCAGUUUUGCUUUACUAUAUCGGCUCAUACCGACUGAGCCUCGUCCUUCUCUCUUUCAAACUUUCUUUGUCCUUCGUCUUCAUCUUAAGGUCAAGGGUUGGUGGUUCUUCAAUCCGAAAAAAGAUCUUUCUUUCACACCGAUCUUCUAUCAUUCAUUCAUGGAUGGAAGAACCAAUUCUUUUUUAUUUCUUCUUCUUCUCCCUGGGGUUUUCUUUCAUGCUGGGGUGAUCUAAGGACUGGCCCCAAUGAGAAUAGUUGGGUGGAGGUUGAU
rnacentral:lncRNA from 1 species